rnacentral:rRNA from 1 species
GACGAACGCUGGCGGCGUGCCUAAUACAUGCCAGUCGAACGCUGAAGGAGGAGCUUGCUUCUCUGGAUGAGUUGCGAACGGGUGAGUAACGCGUAGGUAACCUGCCUGGUAGCGGGGGAUAACUAUUGGAAACGAUAGCUAAUACCGCAUAAUAGUAGAUGUUGCAUGACAUUUGCUUAAAAGGUGCAAUUGCAUCACUACCAGAUGGACCUGCGUUGUAUUAGCUAGUUGGUGGGGUAACGGCUCACCAAGGCGACGAUACAUAGCCGACCUGAGAGGGUGAUCGGCCACACUGGGACUGAGACACGGCCCAGACUCCUACGGGAGGCAGCAGUAGGGAAUCUUCGGCAAUGGACGGAAGUCUGACCGAGCAACGCCGCGUGAGUGAAGAAGGUUUUCGGAUCGUAAAGCUCUGUUGUAAGAGAAGAACGAGUGUGAGAGUGGAAAGUUCACACUGUGACGGUAUCUUACCAGAAAGGGACGGCUAACUACGUG